AUUGAACGCUGGCGGCAUGCCUUACACAUGCAAGUCGAACGGCAGCACGGACUUCGGUCUGGUGGCGAGUGGCGAACGGGUGAGUAAUGUAUCGGAACGUACCUUUCAGUGGGGGAUAACGUAGCGAAAGUUACGCUAAUACCGCAUAUUCUGUGAGCAGGAAAGCAGGGGAUCGCAAGACCUUGCGCUGAUUGAGCGGCCGAUAUCAGAUUAGCUAGUUGGUGAGGUAAAGGCUCACCAAGGCGACGAUCUGUAGCGGGUCUGAGAGGAUGAUCCGCCACACUGGAACUGAGACACGGUCCAGACUCCUACGGGAGGCAGCAGUGGGGAAUUUUGGACAAUGGGGGCAACCCUGAUCCAGCCAUGCCGCGUGAGUGAAGAAGGCCUCGGG
rnacentral:rRNA from 1 species